AGCCAAACGAUCACAGAUUCUCAACUUAAUUUGGCAAUAAGACUGUAGCUCAUAACUGGGGUUCAACGUGGGGUGGCCUUUGUUACUCAGAGUUCUUCAAAGAGACUCUCCUGGCACCGGGAGGUUGUUCGAGGCCAUGCAUUCUGGUUCUUACUAAUCUGCUGAACUGGAAUGAGUAGUUCUGAAUCCCUUUACAAUCUGACACUUCACCCGGGAAAUCACACAGCCUCUUUUUAGAGGCUUUAAUUCCUACCCACUGGAAUCCACGGGCAACGGUGAGUUGAGAAUGGUGUUUCUUUUAUUUUAACUCCAAAAAUAAUCUGCCCUGGUAGCAAAUGGGAUGCUUUCGCCACUCCUCACGUAAGGUCGAAAGUUAGCAGCUGCUUUUGACUGUUGUGUGAGGCCGAGGGACCGCCGAGGACACGCCCCGAGGAGCCUGGGUCCCGCUCUUGAGUGCAGUGGGCUCUGGAGAGGAGGAGGAGGUGUGGAUAGGAGAGCAACUCACCUUCGUCUCUCUGUCAGUGAUGAAAACACAUGAAGCUUGCCCUUUUGUAAUGUCAACAGAAAAUUAUGCCUCCAACACAAACCCAGGCCAUUAAGGAGGCGGCUUUUAUUCCUGCUCAUAACGUGGGGAACAGAAGGCGGGGCACCAUGCGCCUCCCCAGCUGUUGCCGGGGAAGCCGGCGCGGAGCCGGCCGCAUCUGGAUGGCGUCUUUGAAGAGGCAUUAAUCUGUGGCUGAGGGACGCUAAGCCUCUCUGCUUUUCUUUGCUGCUUCUCAGGCUAAUGCUGCUUCUGCAAAGCUGUAGCGACUUCAUGUCCACGGGGGAGAUGAAGGAACAAUUACAGACGGUGAUACCAAGAUGCAUUUGGGCAAAAAUAAAGGGCAGGACAGAAGCGCUGUGCCUUGAUCAGUCCGGCAGAAGAUUCGCUUUUCCCCGCCUGAAAGGUGCCGCCCAGCUGGCAGCGCAAUGGCAGGAGCCCGGGCUACGCGAGCGCGGGGUGGAUGUUGGAGGGGAAGGCCGGGAGCUGGCUCCGUGGAAAAGGCUCCUGCGUGUCUCGGAACAUGUUGCUGGGUCGGUGGAUUUCGCUGCUCAUUUUUGUGGAUGAAACAUGCAUGUUACAUUACAUAAGGGAUCAGGUGGAAGAAUGAACAGGUUGGCUUAAGCACACGUCCUGGCUGGUGCUCGGAGAGUGGGCAUUUCUUUCUGCCACACUGAGGAGCUGCCUCCUCAGACGGACGUGACAUGACUUUCUCGGCUUCUCACUGUCACAGCGCGAGAGGCGGGGGCCUGAGACCCGACGCUGCCCAGGUCACAGCAGCGGGCGGCGUGCCGGCAGGUGCGCGCCUGUUAGACCCGGCGUGAGUGUAGUUUAACAACGAAUCUGCAGGCUGCCUGCCGUCAUGCACGUGGCCAUCGCUUCAGCUUUGCUCCUUUCCAGGUUUCGGGAUGCUCGGGGUGAAUGGGGAGGCGGCCGCCCCAAGGGAGGACCCAGGCAGCGUCGGCCUCCCGCUUGGGGUCCCUUCCCAGACCCUCGCCUGAACGAGUGGGACAGCUCCUGCCCCCCAGCGCGUCCCCAGGCUCCGGGAUGGUCACUGUCCAGGAGGCGCUUGGCCCUGCUCACCCGCCCGUUCUGCCCAUCCCUUGAGAACUCCGCGAUUUCGAAACUUUCCUGAUCUUUCUGCCGGAAGUAAUUUGUUCUACGUGAAACCACGGGCCACUCCUUCAUAUCUGUAGAGCGCUCUACCUUCUGUAACGUUUAUCUGCGAAACUGCUGCGUUAGGCCAGGAGCACUCCAAGAGCGAGAGGCAGACGCCGUCUGACUUUUCACCCUGACAGGGGACUUUUCCACCUGGCAGUGCCAAUAUCCGGCUCCUACGCAUUCUCCAUGGAGGAUCACCAGGACAGCAGGACAGAGACACCAGCCCUGGGAAGCCACUAGGAUUUCUGCAGAGGGCCGUUUCCACAUCAGAAAACUGGGAACCCUUUGUGCACAUAACGCUUGACACGAAGAAGGACCUCGGAGCCAAGUGGGAACCAACACUGUUUAAAGGCAGGAAGCAAAAUCCUACAGUGUCCAAAUGAAAUGUGUGCUGCGAAAGGCGUAAUCUGUGUGUGUUCUCUGCGGCUCACUCCCAGCUGGCAGUGAGGUGUGCGGGCUCAUCUGUGGCCAAGUGCCCAGGAAAGAGAGGCAGCCCAGUAGAUCGUGCUUCCCGUGAGGGAGACUCGCUGCUGCCAAUGACAGACUCAAAACAUCGUGACCCGGCCACAGGAUCAUGGAGCUCUUCGCUCAUCGCUGUGGGUGCCGGGACGUUGCAUGUUUUUUCCCUUGCAGAGGCCAUCGCUGUGGGCGCCAGGACAUCUGUCCUUUGUGGGCAUGUUGAGGCUUCUCUGUGAAGGACCCACAUGGAGUCAGGCUGCUUGUGGCAAGAGGCCCUGGCUUAAUCUUCACAGGUGGAAGAGACCUGAGGGCUCAUCUCACCUAACCCCAAAUUUUCUAGACAACGUUCUGCUUGAGUUUCAGGAGGUGGAUCUGGAGCCAGCAGCCCUCCUGUGAGAACACUGGCCUGAGCCCCUCAAGCCGCCCCUCGUCUCUGAAUGGGGGUCAUUUUGGCCCUUGGUGGGCAGCUUCUUGGGAGAUGGUUUGGAAAUGGAGAUACUUUGUUGAAUAAACGAUUAUACUACAACUUCUGCUAUCUUCAGACAUACAUGGAAAUGCACCGCACAGAUCACACUGAUGUGGACACGCCCACCUCCUGCCAGCUGCUCGUGGUCAUGAUGUGGAUGAGGAGCUGAGUCACGAUGUGGACGAGGAGCUGAGUCGCGAUGUGGACGAGGAGCUGAGUCGCGAUGUGGACGAGGAGCUGAGUCCCGAUGUGGACGAGGAGCUGAGUCGCGAUGUGGAUGAGGAGCUGAGUCUUCUUUUACCCCUUUAAAGGGGGAAUGUGGGUUUCAGGAACACGUCAGCUUGGAGUCAUUUCUGUGUCUGAAUCUGCUUCAUACACACGUCUCCAAAUACUUAAAAUGAUUGAAAAAACCUUUGAAUAAAAGCUUGGGAAUUUCAUCUUG
rnacentral:lncRNA from 1 species